AUGAAGCUGGAAUCGCUAGUAAUCGCGGAUCAGAAUGCCGCGGUGAAUACGUUCCCGGGUCUUGUACACACCGCCCGUCACACCAUGGGAGUCGGAAAUGCCCGAAGUCUGUGACCCAACCGUAAGGAGGGAGCAGCCGAAGGCAGGUCGGAUGACUGGGGUGAAGUCGUAACAAGGUAAC
rnacentral:rRNA from 1 species